rnacentral:misc_RNA from 1 species
CCUUUCCAAACCUGUCUUCAGUUCCUCAAGAGUAAUAUGUCCACUAUUGUCUGUGUCUAUCAUCUUGAACAUUUGUUUUAGGCCUGCAAUUUCCUCUUCAGACAGGCUUUCAGCAAUGACUCUCAAAGCCAUCUUCUUGAGCUUGUUCAUUGCAGAAAAUUGUUUCAUUCGACUUAGAACUGCAGAAUCCAAAGGCUUAUCUGGAGCCACACCAUCAACUUGAACCCAGCGAUGGCACAAGACUUCAUGAGCAGUCAAACGUUUUUUGGGAUCUCGAACAAGCAUUCCCCUAACUAAGUCUUUUGCAUCUUCUGAAAUACUAGGCCAUGGAUCUGACGAGAAAUCGAGAUCACCAUGCAGGACUUGUUCAAAUAUCCCUUGCUCAUUUUCAGCCCAGAAAGGAGGCACUCCACUUAACAAGAUGUAAACAAUCACACCAGCACUCCAAACAUCAGCUUCAGGACCAUACCGCUUUUUGAGAACUUCCGGUGCAACAUAAUAAGGACUACCAACAACAUCAGUAAAUCUCUCACCUGGUUUGAAGAAAACUGACAAUCCAAAAUCAAUAGUUUUGAGAAGUGAAUCCUCCUUCUGAUCAACAAAAAGGAAAUUUUCAGGCUUAAGAUCACGAUGCAUGACACUCAGCGAAUGACAAGCUUCAACAACUCCAAAAAUAGUCCUUGUGAGCUCAGCUGCUUUUCUUUCUGUAUAAUGCCCCCGCUGAAUAAUCCUAUCGAAAAGCUCACCUCCAGCACACCGUUCCAUAACUACAUGAACAGCUACCGCAUCCUCAUAAGCCCCUUUUAUCGAUAUAACAUUCGGAUGCCCUGCUAAGUGAUGCAUUAUCUGAAUUUCCCUUCUA